ACUCCUACGGGAGGCAGCAGUGGGGAAUUUUGGACAAUGGGGGCAACCCUGAUCCAGCAAUGCCGCGUGAGUGAAGAAGGCCUUCGGGUUGUAAAGCUCUUUUGUCAGGGAAGAAACGGUAGUAGCGAAUAACUAUUACUAAUGACGGUACCUGAAGAAUAAGCACCGGCUAACUACGUGCCAGCAGCCGCGGUAAUACGUAGGGUGCAAGCGUUAAUCGGAAUUACUGGGCGUAAAGCGUGCGCAGGCGGUUGUGUAAGUCAGAUGUGAAAUCCCCGGGCUCAACCUGGGAAUUGCAUUUGAGACUGCACGGCUAGAGUGUGUCAGAGGGGGGUAGAAUUCCACGUGUAGCAGUGAAAUGCGUAGAUAUGUGGAGGAAUACCGAUGGCGAAGGCAGCCCCCUGGGAUAACACUGACGCUCAUGCACGAAAGCGUGGGGAGCAAACAGGAUUAGAUACCCGGGUAGUCCCA
rnacentral:rRNA from 1 species